rnacentral:misc_RNA from 1 species
UCAAUCAAAGUUGUACAAUUCAAAGAUUUGAACUAUUUUGCUCUAAGGGGGAAAGAAAAGAAUGGUCAUUUAUUAAAAUCCUGAAAUACAAAAGUAUAAUGAUUGUAAUCUAAUCAUAGACCAUUCUAGCAUUUUCAAAACGACACCGUAUUUGGUCACAGCCAAGGAGAGUUGUAAAUGGGGGUUACAACAGACUUGACUUGAAGAAACUUAUGAAGGGCCUCUAAUCCAAAAUCUCUUCCAAAUCCACUCAUCUUAUAUCCUCCAUAAGGACAAUCGUUAUCAAAUGCAAAGUAACAAUUAAUCCAGAUAAUGCCGGCUCGGAUUGAUCUUGAAACUGUGUUAGCCACAUCCAAGUUCUUGGUAACAAUCCCAGCUGCCAAGCCAUACCUUGUAUUGUUAGCACAUUUAAUUGCCUCAUCGAUAGUCUUGAACUUCAUGAGUGCCAUUACAGGUCCAAAAAUUUCAUCCUUUGCUAUGAGCAUAUCCUCCUUAACAUCGCUGAAAAUGGUGGGAUGGAGAUAAUAUCCCUUGUUUCCUGAAGGCUUACCACCGGUUAACAAGGUGGCUCCUUCUCUUUUCCCAUGCUCAAUGUAAGACAGAAUUUUUUCAAAUUGCCGCUUAUCAACCUGUGGACCAAGCUGAGAUUUAGAAUCAAAAGGAUCUGCAAUUACACAGUUUUUUGCCUUUUCCACCAACUUCUUUACAAGUUCAUCAUAAAUCCCUUCCUGAACAUAAACCCGCGAACUUGCCACACAAAUUUCUCCCUUAUUAUACAGGAUGCCGAAAAGGGCAAGCUCUGCAGCUUUAUCUAUAUCAGCAUCGUCAAAAAUUAGGAGAGGUGAUUUUCCUCCUAAUUCAAGUGAAACUUGUUUCAAAUUGCUUUCUGCUGCAGCCUUCAUUACCAUGUGUCCAACUUCUGUAGACCCAGUAAAACUGACCUUAUCAACAUCCAUAUGAGAGGAAAUGGCAGCUCC